rnacentral:rRNA from 1 species
CAGCAGCCGCGGGAAUACAGAGGGUGCAAGCGUUAAUCGGAAUUACUGGGCGUAAAGCGCGCGUAGGUGGUUUGUUAAGUUGGAUGUGAAAUCCCCGGGCUCAACCUGGGAACUGCAUCCAAAACUGGCAAGCUAGAGUAUGGUAGAGGGUGGUGGAAUUUCCUGUGUAGCGGUGAAAUGCGUAGAUAUAGGAAGGAACACCAGUGGCGAAGGCGACCACCUGGACUGAUACUGACACUGAGGUGCGAAAGCAUGGGGAGCAAACAGGAUUAGAUACCCCCGUAGUCCCUGUCUCUUAUAC